rnacentral:misc_RNA from 1 species
UUUCCGUAGGUGAACCUGCGGAAGGAUCAUUAUUGAAAAAUACAAGACGCCCCGUUUUUUCGUAAAUUGGGUUUAUUACCCACCACCGCCUAUACCUUACCUUUUGUUGCUUUGGCAGGCCGCCUCCGCGCGUUGGCUUCGGCUGACAGCGCCUGCCAGAGCACCCAACCUCUGUGUUUAGUGAUGUCUGAGUAAUAUAUAAUCUUUUAAAACUUUCAACAACGGAUCUCUUGGUUCUA